rnacentral:lncRNA from 1 species
AGGGUUGGCCACCUUGAGAAGCUGCGAAGAUGGCGGAGUAAGGCGUGCCGCUGCAAACUGGCCUCUGGGCCGGGGGCGAGCAGCCCCCGGGAGGCCGAGUGCAUCUGUUGGACCGUGCGAGGAGAAGAAAAAAAAUAUCGGCCAGAGGAGAGGAACUAACCGAACAUUCUUCCUCCCUACCUUAUAGAGGGGAGUGGUCAUCUACACUAAAGCAAAGUGUUAGGCGCGUCCGUGCGAAGAGACCACCAAACAGGCUUUGUGUUCCUUAUCACAGGAAGAAAAUUUUCCUUGACCUUUAGGUGCUUUUAUAUUCAUCUCAAAAACAAAAUUCUGAACUCAGGACUUGGCAAACGGAGUUUCACUCUGUUGCUCAGGCCAGAGUGCAGUGGCACAAUCUCAGAUCACUGCAACCUCUGCCUCCCGGGUUCAAGCAAUUCUCCUGCCUCAGCCUCCCGAGUAGCUGGAAUUACAGGCGCGCACCACCACGCUCAGCCUGAUUUCUAGGCUGAAAAGGCUGGGACUCAGGUACUUUCCCCAGUUGGGACUGAACUUUCUCAUCAGAGAAUGGGCCUCAGAAGCAAUGUUCCCAAACUUGUGGUUGGGUCAUCGUGGAAAAGAAACCUCAAAUAAGAAAAAUAAUUACAAUAAGAAAUGGAUUUUCUUUUUUCCCACAACAGUUAUACAUUAUAAAGAACAGACUGUCGUAGAAAACUGUCUUUGCUUCCAAAUCAGCAGAGGACCAUUGUAUGUAUUGUCAGGUCUUUAUAUAAGAGUGAAACCUUUAUUUAUGCUUCUUGUGAGUAGAGAAUAAAUUUUAAAACUAAUUAGAUGAAAUUAA